CCGCCAGACGGACACACAUUCUUCCAUUCAGUCAGUCAGUUGGCUUGUCUGACGCUGAAGUGCAAGUCGACUAUCGUCUCCCCUCUCUCGGGAUUUGUUUUGAGAGAAAGAGCGUUGUUUCUGUACAGCAAAAUAAAACAUGUGUGUAUAUUGGUUAUUUUGAAUGCGCUUGGAGAAAGUUAAAUUAUACUAUUUUCUUGCAAAAACGCGGACACAAUGUGACAAUGUUGACCAGCAGACUGGGUUAUCCAUGACGGAUUGGUAAAGAGCUGUUCAUUAAUCAAGGAAAACGGGACGUAGAAAUGGGGAAACUUCAGUCCAAACAUGCGGGCAAACGUAGAGAGAACCCCGAAGGAGACAGUUUUGUUGUGAACGCUUUCCUCCGAAGAGCGAUGGGGGAAUGUGAGAUGUACAGGUCCUCGGAUCACAAACUGAACAACAUGCAGGUAAGAAACGAAAAACUUGUACUUU